rnacentral:lncRNA from 1 species
GUUGUCACCAAAAUGAUUUUAAGCAGCAUAUAGCUUUCUGACUUUGAUGAUGAAGAAUUGAAGAGAUGCGUAAGGAGUGAAAGACCUUGGAGGAGUAGGGAUGAAGAUAUAAAUCAGAUCUGAAAGUACUGAGAUUUCCUUGGAAGAGAAAGAACAGAAGAGGAAAGAAAGAUAAGGGGAGGAACACUCAGGUGCACAAGAAAAACAAUCACAACCUUCAGCAAAAGCUACCUGAAAAUGUGGACUUCAAAGAGCAAGAAAGAAUAAAGAGCACCAACAACAGAGAAGAGAGAGAAA